CACGUAGGGUGCGAGCGUUGUCCGGAAUUAUUGGGCGUAAAGAGCUCGUAGGCGGUGUGUCACGUCGGCCGUGAAAACCUACAGCUUAACUGUGGGCGUGCGGUCGAUACGGGCAUCACUUGAGUUCGGCAGGGGAGACUGGAAUUCCUGGUGUAGCGGUGAAAUGCGCAGAUAUCAGGAGGAACACCGGUGGCGAAGGCGGGUCUCUGGGCCGAUACUGACGCUGAGGAGCGAAAGCAUGGGGAGCGAACAGG
rnacentral:rRNA from 1 species